rnacentral:rRNA from 1 species
CCUACGGGAGGCAGCAGUGGGGAAUAUUGCACAAUGGGGGAAACCCUGAUGCAGCGACGCCGCGUGAGUGAAGAAGUACUUCGGUAUGUAAAGCUCUAUCAGCAGGGAAGAAAAUGACGGUACCUGAGUAAGAAGCCCCGGCUAACUACGUGCCAGCAGCCGCGGUAAUACGUAGGGGGCAAGCGUUAUCCGGAUUUACUGGGUGUAAAGGGAGCGUAGACGGCAGUGCAAGUCAGGAGUGAAAGCCGGGGGCUCAACCCCCGGACUGCAUUUGAAACUGUGCGGCUGGAGUGCAGGAGAGGUAGGUGGAAUUCCUAGUGUAGCGGUGAAAUGCGUAGAUAUUAGGAGGAACACCAGUGGCGAAGGCGGCCUGCUGGACGAUGACUGACGUUGAGGCUCGAAAGCGUGGGGAGCAAACAGGAUUAGAUACCCGAGUAGUC